AUGAUGUGCGGUUUCAGUACUACUAGGUGUGAGGAGGAGGAAGUUAGCCUUGAUGGCCAGGUGGUACCUCAGAAGGACACCUUUCGGUAUUUGGGGUCAAUGCUGCAGGAGGAUGGGGGUAUUGAUGAAGAUGUGAACCAUCGAAUCAAAGCCGAAUGGAUGAAGUGGCGCCAAGCUUCUGGCAUUCUCUGUGACAAGAGAGUGCCACAAAAGCUAAAAGGCAAGUUCUACAGGACGGCGGUUCGACCCGCAAUGUUGUAUAGCGCUGAGUGUUGGCCGACUAAAAGGCGACAUGUUCAACAGUUAGGUGUGGCAGAGAUGCGUAUGUUGAGAUGGAUGUGUGGCCACACGAGGAAGGAUCGA
rnacentral:rRNA from 1 species